AUUUAAUAUUAUAAAUGUGAAUGUAAGUUUGUUUGCUAUGCUUUCACGCCGCAACUACUCAACGGGUAAUAAUGAAACUUUGUACACAUACUUUUAAUGAUAUGAAAAAGGACAUGUGAUUAUUAUUAUUAAAAAAAUUAUAGACUUUAUAGAUUGAAAAAUUUCUUUUGGCAAAUUUGAUUGUUUGUACACAAAUUUGAAACUAAAAAAAUAUAUAUUUGUUGUUUGUUGAAAAUUUUUACAAUUUAUCAAAACAAAAAAUGUCACUCAAGCAUAAAUCAAAUUCGUUCAGAAGUUCGUCACGGGCCCGUGUAGUUAAAGUUGCACGAAAUCGAGAAUCUUCCGCUCAUGGAGAGCUAGGAAGGCAACAGCAAAAAGGCAAGAUGAGCAACAGACAGCUAUAAGAGCGAUGGAAUCGCAAGAACAAUUGCAGGCGAGACACCUUAUUUUCCCAAUAAUUCAGGUUACACGCCAUCAAAAUUUUAUGCAGAAGGAUUGGUUUGUGUUUAACCAUAAUGCAUUUCAACAUGAUCUUUCAAUUGAAUAUCAUAGUUAUCCGUUAUUCAUUAUUGGCUCGAUAAAAUAAUAAAUGUACCAGUUUCCUUAGACCUUGGAUUAACAUUCUCGCAGGUUUACAACUAGAGCAGGCACGUCCAGCUUUGCCAAAGUUCCGUAAUUUACAUUUUGGAUUCGUUUGUCACAAAGGGUAAGCUUCAUUACCUGAGCCAUUGGAAAAGGAACAACGCAGAAAAAAUUUCGAGCUUCUGGAUCACAUAUAUGGGCAAAUGUGUGAGUUUUCUUAAAAAAUAAAAAAAGGCUUUUUCGGAUAACGGUG